rnacentral:rRNA from 1 species
CCUACGGGAGGCAGCAGUGAGGAAUAUUGGUCAAUGGCCGGAAGGCUGAACCAGCCAUGCCGCGUGAAUGUCAGUGCCCUAUGGGCGUUAAACUUCUUUUGUGCGGGAGCAAUAAUGGUCACGUGUGGCCAGACGAGAGUACCGUACGAAUAAGCAUCGGCUAACUCCGUGCCAGCAGCCGCGGUAAUACGGGGGGUGCAAGCGUUAUCCGUAUUUAUUGGGUUUAAAGGGUGCGUAGGCUGGGAGGUAAGUCAGCGGUGAAAUGCCCCCGCUCAACGGGGGGAAGUGCCAUUGAUACUGGCUUGCUGGAGUGCGGAUACCGGGGGAGGAAUGUGUGGUGUAGCGGUGAAAUGCAUAGAGAUCACACAGAACACCGAUUGCGAAGGCAUCUCAC